UACGAAGGGGGCGAGCGUUGUUCGGAAUCACUGGGCGUAAAGAGCGCGCAGGCGGUCGUUCAAGUCGCGUGUGAAAGCCCCCGGCUCAACUGGGGAGGGUCACGCGAUACUGAUCGACUCGAAGGCAGGAGAGGGAAGUGGAAUUCCCGGUGUAGUGGUGAAAUGCGUAGAUAUCGGGAGGAACACCAGUGGCGAAGGCGACUUCCUGGCCUGUUCUUGACGCUGAGGCGCGAAAGCUAGGGGAGCAAACGGG
rnacentral:rRNA from 1 species